rnacentral:rRNA from 1 species
AUUGAACGCUGGCGGCAGGCUUAACACAUGCAAGUCGAACGGUAGCAGGAGAAAGCUUGCUUUCUUGCUGACGAGUGGCGGACGGGUGAGUAAUGCUUGGGAAUCUGGCUUAUGGAGGGGGAUAACUACGGGAAACUGUAGCUAAUACCGCGUAAUAUCUUCGGAUUAAAGAAUGGGACUUUUAGCCAUUCGCCAUAAGAUGAGCCCAAGUGGGAUUAGGUAGUUGGUGGGGUAAAGGCCUACCAAGCCGACGAUCUCUAGCUGGUCUGAGAGGAUGACCAGCCACACUGGAACUGAGACACGGUCCAGACUCCUACGGGAGGCAGCAGUGGGGAAUAUUGCGCAAAGGGGGCAACCCUGACGCAGCCAUGCCGCGUGAAUGAAGAAGGCCUUCGGGUUGUAAAGUUCUUUCGGUGGUGUGGAAGGCUAAUAUGUUAAUAGCAUAUUAGAUUGACGUUAGCCACAGAAGAAGCACCGGCUAACUCCGUG